rnacentral:rRNA from 1 species
AUGGGGACCAAAGCGGAGGCACACGGUGCUCUUGUUUGCGUCGCGCCAGUGGUGAAGUGGAGGUUCCUCGGCAUGUGCUUGCUGCUCGUAGCGGCCGCGGGGCUCGCCGAGGGAGAAGGCAAGGGGGAGAAGCAGGGUGUUCGCCUGCUGGACGCGGGGAGGCUGGAGAAGUUCGUGGACGAGCUGCUGGACAUGCCCGUGCUGCGCGGUUACGGCGUGGCGGAGCUCGGCAGGCUCGUCGCCGGAGAGCUCGCCGUCGGCAUGUACGACACCAUGUGGAAAUUCCACCGUGACCUUCCUCCGACGCGGGUCUUCGCCUACGGCGCCAGCAGGGAGACGGCCACCGUGCCGGGGCCGACCAUCAUGGCGAUGAAGGGGGUGCCCACGCGCGUGACAUGGACCAACCACCUCCCGCCGCACCACAUCCUUCCAUGGGACCGAUCGCUCGCUGCCGCGGGGCUCGGCAACGGCACCGGCGUCCCCACCGUCACCCACCUUCACGGCGGCGUGCAGCAGUCCACCUCCGAUGGCAACUCCAUGGCCUGGUUCACCUCUGGCUUCGCCGCCACGGGCCCCCACUUCUCCUCGCCGGCGUACGAGUACCCAAACCAGCAGCCUCCGGGGAACCUCUGGUACCAUGACCACGCCAUGGGCCUCACUCGCGUCAACAUCCUCGCCGGUCUCCUCGGCGCGUACAGGGUGUCCGACCCGGCCGCGGAGGCGCCCCUCGGCCUCCCCUCCGGCGCGGAGUUCGACAGGAACCUCGUCCUGUUCGACCGUGACUUCAGGAGCGACGGCUCGCUCUUCAUGAACGCCACGGGGAACAACCCCAAGGUGCACCCGCAGUGGCAGCCGGAGUACUUCGGCGCCGUUAUCGUCACCAAUGGCAAGGCCUGGCCUUUCCUCCGCGUGCGGCGCCGGCGGUAUCGCUUCCGCAUCCUCAACGCCAGCAACGCGCGCUUCUUCCGCCUCUCGCUCUCCGGUGGCCUCCGCUUCGUCCACGUCGGCUCUGACUCCGUGUACCUCGCCCGGCCGGUGCCCACGAAGCAGUUCCUGCUGGCGCCGUCCGAGAUCGCGGACGUCGCCGUCGACUUCGCCGGCGCCAAGGACGACGCGGUGACCCUGCGGUCCAACGCGCCGACGCCAUACCCUGGCGACCAUGACGAGAAGGUUGAGACGGUGGCGGUGAUGAAGUUCCUGGUUGCGAGGAAGCCCGAGCACGACCCGUCUACCAUGCCGGCGGCGCUGAUGCCGUGGUACCCGAAGCCGGACGCGCGGGAGGCGGUGGUGACCCGGCACAUCGCCAUGUACAAGUACGCCAAGAAGGGCACGGACGAGCCGACGCACAUGUACCUGAACGGCGUGCCUUACACGGAUCCGGUGACAGAGACGCCGCGAGAGGGCACGUCGGAGCUGUGGGAGGUGAUCAACCUCACCGACGACGACAACCACCCGCUGCACGUGCACCUGGCGGUCUUCGCCGUGCUGAAGCAGAGGUCGCUCCAGCGCGUCGACGAGUUCAGGGACUGCAUGCAGGGGAGCGCGAGCAGCGGCGCCGGCGGCCGGAACGACGCCCUCGCGUGCGGGAUGCAGCGGCACCUCGCCGGAGGCCGCACGCACGCCGUGCCGCGGCAGGAGCGCGGGUGGAAGAAUGUGUUCAAGGUGCGGCCCAGCACGGUGGCCACGCUGCUGGUGCGGUUCAUGCCGCUGGAGGAGCCGUCGGGGAAGAGGGGUCGCUUCCCCUUCGACGUCACCGUCGGCCCCGGCUACGUUUACCACUGCCAUAUUUUGGAUCAUGAAGACAACGAGAUGAUGAGGCCGAUGAAGAUUGUUCGCUAG